rnacentral:rRNA from 1 species
AUUGAACGCUGGCGGCAGGCCUAACACAUGCAAGUCGAACGAGUGGCGGACGGGUGAGUAAUUUCUGGGAAACUGCCUGCUGGAGGGGGAUAACUACUGGAAACGGUAGCUAAUACCGCAUACCAUCGGAUGUGCCCAGAGGGGAUUAGCUAGUAGGUGUGGUAACGGCUCACCUAGGCGACGAUCCCUAGCUGGUCUGAGAGGAUGACCAGCAAAACUGGAACUGCGACACGGGCCAGAAUCCUACGGGAGGCAGCAGUGGGGAAUAGUGCACAAUGGGCGCAAGACGGAUGCAGCCAGGCCGCGUGUAUGAAGAAGGCCUUCGGGUUGUAAAGUACUGUCAGCGGGGAGGCGUUACCCGCAGAAGAAGCACCGGCUAACUCCGUGCCAGCAGCGGCGGUAAUAC